UUGCUUGCACAGUCAGCUCAGGGAGAUGACUGUCAGCUGGCAGUAAUCAAGGGCAGCUGAGCCUCCUUAGGCUUAGAACCUUGAAGAGUAGCUCAGCUCAGUGAAGGGAGACUCUGCUAGCUGGAGAGCAGGCCAGGGUGCUCUAGCGAUGAAUAUUGUUGAUGGUGCUGUGUGGAUUCCCGCUGCAGGAAGGAGAUGUGGCUAAAGGUAGCAUCGUGGUUUGGUUUCUUUGGCUAUGCAAGAGCCCUGACACCUUAGAAAGAAUCAUUCAACCUAGGACCUCCUGGGAAACUUCUCUCCAGCUAUAUUGUCCAGGACUGCUGUGUGUGGGAUUUUUCAUGGGAUGCUCACCAGAGACUAGUAGACAGGAUUCCAUUUCAAUGUGCCUUCUACCCGAGCACCCCUCUAAACAUGCAGUGACCCUCCUCCCGUUGGCAGCAGGUGCAUUCAGUUCAGAAUAAUAUUACUUGGUCAGCCUCUGCAAUUCCUCCCUGCAAACCUCAUUUGAGGAAGAUAGUAAGGUUGCAUUCUCACUUAUCACAAUGUCACCUUCACCUCGUGCCCUGGAAAGCAGUGCUGACUCGGGGUUAUAACUGGAGACCAGACGUCAGGAAUCCUGGAUUCUCUUCCCAAGACCACUGUGGACCACUUUAAGUCACUCACUUAACCUCUCUAUCUUUCCAGAAGGCUUGGAUACCUUUGAAUAAGAGGUGUGAUGUAAAGGAAGCCUGAUUCUCAGCUAUGCUGGGAACAUACAGCUCCCACUGUCUUCAUCUGCAGAUCUGAGUGCUCAGCAUCACUGAAAGUCAGGUCCUGGAUAUUUUAUUAACAACUCAUUUCAUAUAAACCUCCCAAAAAAGCCAUCAGACAAUGACUUUUGGUCACCCCUGACCCGGGAUGACAUUGUAGGGUUCAAAACCAUUAUUAAAUUCCACACACGCUGAGAAGGAAACAAUAAAUCUUCCACCACCCAACAGAAAUCUCCAAUUGAAGCAUUUGCGGUAUGUUUGUACAAUCCAGGCCAAGUAGGGCUACCACCAUACCAGGAUUUCUUACACUUUUUCCGGGUUCUAUAUCUUAGUGAACGCUGCACCUCCUUCACCCACUGCCAUAGACUUCUUCCAACCAGCAAUCGCAGCCAAGAAUGAAAUAUAAUGAAAAAGGGAAUUUCAUUUAUUAAAUUGCUCUCUCAUUUUUAUUUUUUUUUAGCCACAGCAGUUACUCUCGGUAGCUUCAUUCCCAGAGCUCCCCCCCUGUGGGAAUAGAAUGUGAGAUGCUGAGAUUGUUUAGGCUUUUGGGAUGAGCUGACUGUGUUGGGAAUUGUGUGUGAAGGGCUGGCCUUGGGCUUGUUCUCAUCGGCCAGCUAAU